UGGCUCAUGCCUAUAAUCCUAGCGCUUUGGGAGGCCAAGACAGGAGGAUUGCUUGAGCCCAAGAGUUCAAGUCUGCAGUGAGGCAUGACAGUGCCACAGGACUCCAACCUGGGUGACAGAGUGAGACCUUGUCUCAAAAAAACCCCAAAAGACAAAACGAUUACAGAUAAGGCUCAAGUAUCCUCUGAUUGCACCCUGUUUUCACAGCACCUUCU
rnacentral:lncRNA from 10 species